UACGUAGGGUGCUAGCGUUGUUCGGAAUCAUUGGGCGUAAAGCGCGUGCAGGCUGCUAAUUAAGUCGGGUGUGAAAGCCCUCGGCUCAACCGAGGAAGUGCAUCCGAAACUAAUUAGCUAGAAGACGGCAGAGGGAGGUGGAAUUCCUAGUGUAGAGGUGAAAUUCGUAGAUAUUAGGAGGAAUACCAGAGGCGAAGGCGGCCUCCUGGACCGUGCUUGACGCUGAGACGCGAAAGCGUGGGUAGCAAACAGG
rnacentral:rRNA from 1 species